UGGCGAACGGGUGAGUAACACGUGGGUGAUCUGCCCUGCACUCUGGGAUAAGCCUGGGAAACUGGGUCUAAUACCGGAUAGGACCAUGCUUUAGUGUGUGUGGUGGAAAGUUUUUUCGGUGUAGGAUGAGCCCGCGGCCUAUCAGCUUGUUGGUGGGGUAAUGGCCUACCAAGGCGGCAACGGGUAGCCGGACUGAGAGGUUGGUCGGCCACAUUGGGACUGAGAUACGGCCCAG
rnacentral:rRNA from 1 species